rnacentral:lncRNA from 1 species
GCCUAUUUAUGGUCCACAAACUCCGCCGUUAGUGGCGCCUAACGGAGACGUUGGAGUUGACGGUAUGAUCAUUAACUUGGCUACUCUUUUGGCCAACACCGUUACCAACCCUUUUAACAGCGGCUAUUACCAAGGCCCACCCACUGCUCCUCUCGAAGCAGCCUCAGCCUGUACUGGUAAAUUCGGAACCGGGUCAUAUCCAGGAUAUCCGGGCCGGGUCUUGGCGGAUAAGGCGACGGGGGCUAGCUUUAACGCACACGGAGUCAAUGGAAGGAAGUAUCUGUUACCAG